AGAUGUGAGAGACAUUGAUUGUGAUGUCUCUUAUUCCAUUUAUCCCCAGGUUUGAUGUGGCUGAUCCUGCAGUUAGGUGGCUAUUACUUUCCUUCCUCGCUGCUUCCAUGUGCAUCCCUCUGGAAGCUGAGUGUUUGGUUAAAGAGGAUGAUGUUCUCUGAAUAGAGGAGGGCUGUUCUUUAAUUAAGGCCAUAUGAGUAGCUAUGCUCCCCUGCAAGAACUUGCAAACAUGCUCUAAAAUUCAAUAUAACUUAUUUUUGAGAAUUGCAUACACAAGAACUGUGUUUAUAUUAUAUGCAGAGUAGU
rfam:Rattus norvegicus chromosome 2, whole genome shotgun sequence.